GCUCUUGGUGUGGCCGGGACCCGGGAGAAGGAGCAGGGCUGGUGGGGCUGCUGCAGCCGGAAAUAAUCAUGGUGCUCAACAGUUUGGAUAAGAUGAUUCAACUCCAGAAAAACACUGCCAACAUCAGGAAUAUUUGUGUUUUGGCUCAUGUUGACCGUGGAAAAACUACUCUGGCUGACUGUCUUAUAUCUAGCAAUGGAAUCAUCUCCAGCCACCUAGCAGGCAAGUUAAGGUACAUGGACAGCAGAGAAGAUGAACAGAUCCGAGGGAUCACUAUGAAAUCCAGUGCCAUUUCCCUACAUUAUGCAACAGGUAAUGAGGAGUACCUGAUUAAUCUGAUAGACUCUCCAGGACACAUGGACUUUUCCUCAGACGUAUCAACCGCUGUUCGCAUUUGUGAUGGAUGCAUCAUUGUGGUAGAUGCUGUGGAAGGAGUCUGUCCACAGAUUAAUGCGCUCACAGGGACUCUUUUUACUUCUAAAGUCCUAGAAGAAAGAGCAGAGAGGGAGACUGAAUCCCAAGCGAAUCCAAAUUCUGAACAAGGAGAGCAAGUAUAUGACUGGAGCACUGGCUUGGAGGACACAGAUGAUUCUCACCUUUACUCCUCUCCAGAACAGGGAAAUGUGGUGUUUACCAGUGCAAUAGAUGGGUGGGGCUUUGGCCCAGAGAAUGGAGAGACUGAUGUGCACAGGAUCACAAACUUUUGACUCUCUUCCACCAGAAACUCAAGCACUGAAAGCAGCUUUUAUGAAAUGUGGAAGUGAGGACACUGCUCCAGUUAUCAUGUUUGUUUCCAAAAUGUUUGCAGUUGAUGCUAAGGCCUUGCCUCAGAAUAAGCCAAGGCCUCUCACUCAAGAAGAAAUUGCUCAGAGACGUGAGCGUGCAAGACAAAGGCAUGCAGAGAAGCUUGCAGCAGCGCAGGGACAGGCACCCUUGGAGCCCACCCAAGAUGGGAGUGCCAUUGAAACAUGUCCAAAAGGAGAGGAGCCAAGAGGUGACGAGCAACAGGUGGAAAGUAUGACCCCCAAACCUGUGCUCCAGGAAGAAAACAACCAAGAGUCUUCUAUUGCAUUUGCUCGGGUGUUCAGUGGUGUGGCUCGAAGAGGAAAGAAAAUUUUUGUCUUGGGGCCCAAAUACAGUCCUCUUGAGUUUUUACGAAGGGUACCAUUAGGCUUCUCAGCUCCACCAGAUGGCCUCCCCCAAGUCCCCCACAUGGCAUACUGUGCUCUGGAAAACCUGUAUCUUCUGAUGGGAAGGGAACUGGAAUAUCUAGAGGAGGUACCUCCAGGAAAUGUGCUAGACACCAGGCUUCCCUUCCCCUGGAGCAGCCAGACCUUCUGUGGUAUCUUGAGCAAGCGCCUGGUCCUGUCUGGGCCUCUGCAGACUCAAGGUCUGGUGCCUGACUUACACCCUGUUGUCAUAUCCUGCCAUCUGGCCCCAUAUGGAGUCCUACAGGGGACUCUCAGACCCAGGCGUGAGCACUGGCUCAGGCCCCUCUCAGAGGUCUGGCGGCCCAGCAUCUGCCCACGGGCCUCCUCUCCCCCUCCUUUUCUCCAGGCUCCUGCCUCUGCCACAGUUCCCUGGAGGUGGCCUCUAGCCUGGCCCAGGGGCUCACACACUCCUGAAGGAGGCAGGGCCAGACUCAGGCAAGGCCUUGGAGGACACAUCCCAGUGGGCAGGGCCCAGCACUCUUGGGGUGGAACUACAGGGAGGAGAGGCAGGGCAAUUGAGGCUUGAGGUGCCUGGCCUCACCCAAGGUGACCAGCCUGCUCCUUUUCCUCAGCCUCAGAGGGAGCAGAGGACGGAGGUGGGGAAGAGAGGCCAGGGACACAGUAGGGCUUGGUUAUGGAUGAUGGGGGGUCCUUGUGUGAUAUAAUUAGGCUUUGUGUCUCCACCCAAAUCUCAUCUUGAAUUAUCCCCAUUUUCCCCACCUGUCAAGGGAGAGACCAGGUGGACGUAAUUGGUGGAUCAUGGGAAGGGUUUCCCCCAUGCUGUUCUCAUGACAGUGAGUGAGUUCUCAUGAGAUCUGAUGGUUUUAUAAGGGGCUUUUCCUACUUGUUCAGCACUUCUCCUUCCUGCCACCUCGUGAAGUUUCCUUGCUUCCCCUUCACCUUCCGCUGUGAUUGUAAGUUUCCUGACACCUCCCCAGACAUGCUGAACUGUGAGUCAAUUAAACCUUUUUCUUUU
ensembl:lncRNA novel transcript